rnacentral:rRNA from 1 species
UACGGGGGGGGCAAGCGUUGUUCGGAAUUACUGGGCGUAAAGGGCUCGUAGGCGGCCAACUAAGUCAGACGUGAAAUCCCUCGGCUUAACCGGGGAACUGCGUCUGAUACUGGAUGGCUUGAAUCCGGGAGAGGGAUGCGGAAUUCCAGGUGUAGCGGUGAAAUGCGUAGAUAUCUGGAGGAACACCGGUGGCGGAAGGCGGCAUCCUGGACCGGCAUU